rnacentral:rRNA from 1 species
UAUCGAGGCACAUGACAUUACGCCCAAAACCAUCUGAGUUCAUUAAAUCUCAGAAGCUAAGCAGGGUUGGGCCGGUUAGUAUUUGGAUGGGAGACCGCAGGAAAUAUCAGGUGCCACGAUAA